rnacentral:rRNA from 1 species
GACGAACGCUGGCGGCGUGCUUAACACAUGCAAGUCGAACGGAAAGACCCUGCUUUUGUGGGGUGCUCGAGUGGCGAACGGGUGAGUAACACGUGAGUAACCUGCCCUUGACUUUGGGAUAACUUCAGGAAACUGGGGCUAAUAACGGAUAGGAGCUCCUGCUGCAUGGUGGGGGUUGGAAAGGUUCGGCGGUUGGGGAUGGACUCGCGGCUUAUCAGCUUGUUGGUGGGGUAGUGGCUUACCAAGGCUUUGACGGGUAGCCGGCCUGGGAGGGUGACCGGCCACAUUGGGACUGAGAUACGGCCCAGACUCCUACGGGAGGCAGCAGUGGGGAAUAUUGCACAAUGGGCGGAAGCCUGAUGCAGCAACGCCGCGUGCGGGAUGACGGCCUUCGGGUUGUAAACCGCUUUCGCCUGUGACGAAGCGUGAGUGACGGUAAUGGGUAAAGAAGCACCGGCUAACUACGUG